rnacentral:rRNA from 1 species
UUCUUGGUCAUUUAGAGGAAGUAAAAGUCGUAACAAGGUAUCCGUAGGUGAACCUGCGGAUGGAUCAUUAUCACGUUAUCCACGUAUCAACCAUUGUGAACUAGUAACCUUACCUUUGUUGGAAUUAGUGAGAGUUUCGGCUUUUACUAAGACUAACAAUUGUAUUUUUUUAAUUUCAUUAUUAACUAUUUAAACAAUUUUUAAAUAAUUAACUAUUGAACUGAUACAUUUCUUACUCUUUCGGGAGAAGAAAUAAAAAUUACGAAACAUAAGAACAACUCUUAGCAACGGAUAUCUUGGUUCUCGUAACGAUGAAGAACGCAGCGAAAUGCGAUACGUAAUGCGAAUUGCAGAAUUCAGUGAAUCAUCAAAUCUUUGAACGCAAAUUGCGCUUUCCGGAUAGGCCGGGGAGCAUACCUCUUUGAGCAUCGUUUCUACCUCUUCUCGAUUGCUUUCUUGCGAAAGUAUAUUGGGGGAUUGAGAUGUCUUAUUCGAAAGAAUAAGUCUCUUUAAGAAGCGCGAGUUCCUAAACUCCUAGUAUAAAAAUUAACUUUCGGGUUGAUUUUGCCUGUUUCUCGGGUUAUAUAUUACUAGUGACAUGGAUAAUCAAUUAUUUAUGUUACAUAUGGUGAUGUAUAAACUGGAUUCCGGUUAAGUACAUUGGUAACUUGGAUUACUUGAAUUAGAAAAUAUAUCUAUAUUUUUGAAUUAGAUCUCAAAUGAAGUAAGAUAACCCGCUGAACUUAAGCAUAUCAAUAAGCGGAGGA